rnacentral:rRNA from 1 species
UACGUAGGGGCCAAGCGUUGUCCGGAAUCAUUGGGCGUAAAGAGCGUGUAGGCGGCUUGUUAAGUCUGGCGUGAAAUCUCGGGGCUCAACCCCGAGCGGUCGUGAGAAACUGGCAGGCUAGAGUGCGGGAGAGGAAAGUGGAAUUCCUGGUGUAGCGGUGAAAUGCGCAGAUAUCAGGAAGAACACCCGUGGCGAAGGCGGCUCUCUGGACCGCAACUGACGCUGAGACGCGAAAGCGUGGGGAGCAAACAGG